UACAGAGGGUGCGAGCGUUGUCCGGAAUCACUGGGCGUAAAGGGCGCGUAGGUGGUGGCUUAAGCGUGCGGUGAAAGCUCGGAGCUCAACUCCGAGUCGGCCGUGCGAACUGGGCUCACUGGAGCAUAGUAGAGGCAGGUGGAAUUCCGGGUGUAGCGGUGGAAUGCGCAGAUAUCGGGAGGAACACCAAUUGCGAAGGCAGCUCGCUGGGACGUUACUGACGCUGAGACGCGAAAGCGUGGGGAGCAAACAGGG
rnacentral:rRNA from 1 species